ACCGUAAACGGUGGGCACUAGUUGUGGGGAACCUUCCACGGUUUCUGCGACGCAGCUAACGCAUUAAGUGCCCCGCCUGGGGAGUACGAUCGCAAGAUUAAAACUCAAAGGAAUUGACGGGGCCCCGCACAAGCAGCGGAGCAUGCGGCUUAAUUCGACGCAACGCGAAGAACCUUACCAAGGCUUGACAUAUAGGGAAAAGUGGCAGAGAUGUCAUGUCCGCAAGGGCCCUAUACAGGUGGUGCAUGGUUGUCGUCAGCUCGUAUCGUGAGAUGUUGGGUUAAGUCCCGCAACGAGCGCAACCCUCGUUCUGUGUUGCCAGCAUUUAGUUGGGGACUCACAGGAGACUGCCGGGGUUAACUCGGAGGAAGGUGGGGAUGACGUCAAAUCAUCAUGCCCCUUAUGUCUUGGGCUGCACGCAUGCUACAAUGGCCGGUACAGAGGGCUGCAAUACCGUAAGGUGGAGCGAAUCCCAAAAAGCCGGUCUCAGUUCGGAUUGAGGUCUGCAACUCGACCUCAUGAAGUUGGAGUUGCUAGUAAUCGUAGAUCAGCAUCGCUACGGUGAAUACGUUCCCGGGGCUUGUACACACCGCCCGUCACGUCACGAAAGUCGGUAACACCCAAAGUCAGUGGCCCAACCGCAAGGGGGGAGCUGC
rnacentral:rRNA from 1 species